GUAGCUUGCUACUUUGCCGGCGAGCGGCGGACGGGUGAGUAAUGUCUGGGAAACUGCCUGAUGGAGGGGGAUAACUACUGGAAACGGUAGCUAAUACCGCAUGACCUCGAAAGAGCAAAGUGGGGGAUCUUCGGACCUCACGCCAUCGGAUGUGCCCAGAUGGGAUUAGCUAGUAGGUGAGGUAAUGGCUCACCUAGGCGACGAUCCCUAGCUGGUCUGAGAGGAUGACCAGCCACACUGGAACUGAGACACGGUCCAGACUCCUACGGGAGGCAGCAGUGGGGAAUAUUGCACAAUGGGCGCAAGCCUGAUGCAGCCAUGCCGCGUGUGUGAAGAAGGCCUUAGGGUUGUAAAGCACUUUCAGCGAGGAGGAAGGCAUCACACUUAAUACGUGUGGUGAUUGACGUUACUCGCAGAAGAAGCACCGGCUAACUCCGUGCCAGCAGCCGCGGUAAUACGGAGGGUGCAAGCGUUAAUCGGAAUUACUGGGCGUAAAGCGCACGCAGGCGGUUUGUUAAGUCAGAUGUGAAAUCCCCGCGCUUAACGUGGGAACUGCAUUUGAAACUGGCAAGCUAGAGUCUUGUAGAGGGGGGUAGAAUUCCAGGUGUAGCGGUGAAAUGCGUAGAGAUCUGGAGGAAUACCGGUGGCGA
rnacentral:rRNA from 1 species